rfam:Bacillus sp. FJAT-27916 Scaffold1, whole genome shotgun sequence.
GACGUCCUGAAGUGUACGUUAUGCAACCUUAUUGUUUUGACCGAACAUUUCUUUUAACGGGAGUCCGGCGUUUACCGUUUGCACAAAUGCCUUGUCUGAGGGGACUUGUAACAUAACGGAACAGGACACCCACCUGCCGAGGGCGGGCCAAAGCAUCAGGCAUCAAACGGCACAUGUCGGGACGUCU